rnacentral:rRNA from 1 species
GACCUGGUUGGGCGGUCUGCCUAACGGUACGUACUGUCUGGCUGGGUCUUACCUCUUGGUGAACCGGCAUGCCCUUUACUGGGUGUGUCGAGGAACCAGGAUCUUUACCUUGAGAAAAUCAGAGUGUUCAAAGCAGGCCUAUGCCCGAAUGCAUUAGCAGGGAAUAAUAAAAUAGGACGU